GACGAACGCUGGCGGCGUGCUUAACACAUGCAAGUCGAACGGUAAGGCCCUUCGGGGUACACGAGUGGCGAACGGGUGAGUAACACGUGAGUGAUCUGCCCUGCACUUCGGGAUAAGCAUGGGAAACUGGGGCUAAUACAGGCUAGGACCACUGCAGACAUGGGGGGUGGUGGAAAGAUUUUGCGGUGUGGGAUGGGCCCGCGGACUAGCAGCUUGUUGGUGGGGUGAUGGCCUACCAAGGCGACGACGGGUAGCCGGCCUGGGAGGGUGACCGGCCACACUGGGACUGAGAUACGGCCCAGACUCCUACGGGAGGCAGCAGUGGGGAAUAUUGCACAAUGGGCGCAAGCCUGAUGCAGCGACGCCGCGUGAGGGAUGACGGCCUUCGGGUUGUAAACCUCUUUCAGCACCGACGAAGCGCAAGUGACGGUAGGUGCAGAAGAAGGACCGGCCAACUACGUGCCAGCAGCCGCAGUAA
rnacentral:rRNA from 1 species